UUUUUAAAUACAUGCUUGAUAUUUUUAUGAUGCAAGUUUAUUUAUGUAAACUUCAUAAUUUACAGUCAAUCUCCAUGGACAUUUUUGUUAAAUGAGGGAUUAUUGCCACAUCACUUAUUCCCAUAGAAUGAGUGUCAUACACAUACAUAUACAUGUAUAUCUAAAGCUUAGAUUCUGGCAAUAAAAUGGAGGUGAUCGACAUCUAAGAACCCAUA